GACGAACGCUGGCGGCACGCUUAACACAUGCAAGUCGAACGAGAGAAGAGAAGCUUGCUUUUCUGAUCUAGUGGCGGACGGGUGAGUAACACGUGAGCAAUCUGCCUUUCAGAGGGGGAUACCGAUUGGAAACGAUCGUUAAUACCGCAUAACAUAAUUGAACCGCAUGAUUUGAUUAUCAAAGAUUUAUCGCUGAAAGAUGAGCUCGCGUCUGAUUAGCUAGUUGGUAAGGUAACGGCUUACCAAGGCGACGAUCAGUAGCCGGACUGAGAGGUUGAUCGGCCACAUUGGGACUGAGACACGGCCCAGACUCCUACGGGAGGCAGCAGUGGGGAAUAUUGCACAAUGGAGGAAACUCUGAUGCAGCGAUGCCGCGUGAGGGAAGAAGGUUUUAGGAUUGUAAACCUCUGUCUUCAGGGACGAAAAAAGACGGUACCUGAGGAGGAAGCUCCGGC
rnacentral:rRNA from 1 species